ACGAACGCUGGCGGCGUGCUUCACCCCUGCCAGUCGCACGGAAAGGCCCUGCUUUUGUGGGGUGCUCGAGUGGCGAACGGGUGAGUAACACGUGAGUAACCUGCCCUUGACUUUGGGAUAACUUCAGGAAACUGGGGCUAAUACCGGAUAGGAGCUCCUGCUGCAUGGUGGGGGUUGGAAAGUUUCGGCGGUUGGGGAUGGACUCGCGGCUUAUCAGCUUGUUGGUGGGGUAGUGGCUUACCAAGGCUUUGACGGGUAGCCGGCCUGAGAGGGUGACCGGCCACAUUGGGACUGAGAUACGGCCCAGACUCCUACGGGAGGCAGCAGUGGGGAAUAUUGCACAAUGGGCGGAAGCCUGAUGCAGCAACGCCGCGUGCGGGAUGACGGCCUUCGGGUUGUAAACCGCUUUCGCCUGUGACGAAGCGUGAGUGACGGUAAUGGGUAAAGAAGCACCGGCUAACUACGUG
rnacentral:rRNA from 1 species